rnacentral:rRNA from 1 species
AGCCUGAACGCUGGCGGCGUGGCUAAGACAUGCAAGUCGUACGGUGUAGCAAUACACAGUGGCGAACGGGUGAGUAAUGAAUCGCUAACGUGCCCCGGACUUCGGGAUAGCUAUCCGAAAGGGUAGGUAAUACCGGGUGAUAUACCCUUUCCGCAUGGAAGGGGUCUCAAAGGUCCGCCGGUCUGGGAGCGGGCGAGUUUCGUAAGUCAGCUAGUUGGUGAGGUAACGGCUCACCAAGGCGACGACGCGUAGCCGGACUGAGAGGUUGGCCGGCCACAUUGGGACUGAGACACUGCCCAGACUCCUACGGGGGGCUGCAGUGGGGAAUAUUGGACAAUGGGCGCAAGCCUGAUCCAGCCAUGCCGCGUGGGUGAUGAAGGCCCUAGGGUUGUAAAGCCCUUUCGGCGGGAAGAUAAUGACGGUACCGCAGAAGAAGCCCGGCUAACUUCGUGCCAGCAGCCGC